rnacentral:rRNA from 1 species
UACAGAGGUCUCAAGCGUUGUUCGGAUUCAUUGGGCGUAAAGGGUGCGUAGGCGGCGCGGUAAGUCGGGGUGUGAAAUUUCGAGGCUUAACUUCGAAACUGCAUUCGAUACUGCCGUGCUUGAGGACUGGAGAGGAGACUGGAAUUUACGGUGUAGCGGUGAAAUGCGUAGAUAUCGUAAGGAAGACCAGUGGCGAAGGCGGGUCUCUGGACAGUUCCUGACGCUGAGGCACGAAGGCCAGGGGAGCAAACAGG